UACCAGCACCCCGAGUGGUCGGACGAUUAUUGGGCCUAAAGCAUCCGUAGCCGGUCCUGCAAGUCUUCCGUUAAAUCCAGCUGCUCAACAGAUGGGCUGCGGGGGAUACUACAGGGCUAGGAGGCGGGAGAGGCAAGCGGUACUUUAUGGGUAGGGGUAAAAUCCGUUGAUCCAUAGAAGACCACCAGUGGCGAAGGCGGCUUGCCAGAACGCGCUCGACGGUGAGGGAUGAAAGCUGGGGGAGCAAACCGG
rnacentral:rRNA from 1 species